AUGGCAGUGGACUUUAGAUGCGCAGUUCACGGCUCAGUCUUUUGGGGCUGUGUGGUUAUCCUCAGUAACGUGCUAUGUCCCAUUGAUGCGUACCUCUACAACAACCGCUAUGCAGGUGAUCAAGUCUUCAGGAUAACUCCCAGCAACGAGGGGGAGGUUCAGGAACUCAAGAAACUCCUGGGAAACAUCAAGGUAAUGAUGUCCUGUCUUAAAUAGUCUCACCCUCUCUCUUUCUUCUCACAAAAACACACACACAAGUGCGCACGCACGCACGGACACACACACACACACACACACAGUAAUUAACCCACUCAUUAUCUCUGAUGAUUAUGACACAGUGCUGAUGAUCAUAUUCCCGGAGUCGACGUGUCAACUUGAGUUACGAGACGAAGGAGAUUACUCUGUCAAAACAACAGUGUUAUGCAGAUUGAGCUGUUUCUCUCUCUCUAUCUCUCUUGAUAGAACAUCUUUACUGAGACAGGGAGACUGGGAGAGGGAGCUGUCCACCGUCAGACCAUGUCUGUUUCUAUGAGAGAAGAAGAGGCCCCUGUUCUACUUCAAUGAGCUCUGCAGUCUGAGAGUGUGAGGGAGAGAUGAAGUAUCUUUAUAUUUACAUAAUGGGGAGAGAUGUUUAGAUUGAGUCUCCAUCUGACAGCUGAGAGAAAUCAAUACUGUAGCUUCACCAGGAAGGGACAAUAGGCCAUGAUAAAACAUUCACUGUUUACCAUCGAUAGAGAACCACAGUAAUCAUACUGUAGUCAGUGUACUAGACAUUCUUCUUCUGACACAUUUUACAGAGAGGCAGAUGAUGCAGUUCAUGCAAGUAAGAAAGAUAUCUGGUUCAUGGACCGUUGCCGUUGGAAAAACCUGCAGACUCCUUGGACAAGGCGAGAAGGAGUUUCCUGUGGCCUGUGACAUUCCCAAACCCAUUUGGGAACAAUUACACAGCAAUGCCAGGAAAAACGACAACCUUCCUGCACUUUCCUUCCCUUGAAGAUAAACUCCCAGCAGAAGAACUGAUGUUAUUAGUGGAAUAUGAAAAUGAGGUGGAACCUGCCUGGGUGGUCAAGGUUAAUAUAUGAAAACUGCGUUGAAUUGAUAAAUUCACAUUAGAUAGAGCCGUCCCACUUUUUGUGUAGCAUGUUUUGAGCAGUGGUGGGAUAUGUUGAACAGUGUUUGCCAGUGUUGGACUGUCUUUAGUUGUUUUGGCCUGUAUUGGGUAGUAUAUCACUGAUAUGGCUAUUUGGUAGUGUCUGAGGUAUGUCUGACUGUUUGGGCUGUUACAGUUAUCCUUGGCCUAGUCUUUUAGGGUUCAGGGUUGGGCUGAACUGUUCUGACAACCUGAAAGACUAACUCAAAGAGGGAAUGAGGGACAGAGAGGGGGAAAAGUAAAUUGACCCAAAAAAGUAGUGAUUUAUUGAACUGAUGGCUAAAUAACCGAACAUCAUUUGGUGGUUCCCACAUGUUGGUCUUGGUCUGGCCUGAGUCUUUGUCUAAGGAGGGCCAGUGGACCAGGAGAGCCUGGAGAUGGUGGCUACUGUUUGGACAGCUGCUGCUGAGAUGUGUUUUCUUUAGUUUAGGCGCGUGCUCCGCCGUGACGACCUCAUGCCAAAGUCACACUUUUAACCUUCAGGUAGAGACUGGGGUCAAAUAGAGAGAAGAGUGUCACAUACAUUCAAUUGUUGAUUCACAUCUACGGGUGCCAGUCCACAAAGAGACAGAAUGGUUGGACUCCAAAUAUGUUUGUGCCAUCAUUCAGAUACUAAUGGAAAGAUGUUUCCUUUAGUGCUUUGCCCUUUGAAUUGUGGAUACUGAGACCACAGAGUGCUAUGUCUUAUGGUAGAUCUGUCUAGCUUCUCCUGAACCACAAAUACUCCAAUAGAAUUUCAUCUUAGUUGCCUUGUGAUGAGGCCGACAUAUCUACUGUAUGUCUCAGGACUGAACUAAUCACUACUGUAGGCCCAGUAGCUUCCUUAACUCCAUGCCAUCAUUGCCAUGAACCAUAACACAACUCCCUCAAUUUAAAGGUAUCCUAUAACCACAAAUAAAAUUGCGUAAACAAUCGAAUCAUAAAGAAUCUAAUCAACGGGAUUUCUAUUUCCUAAUGGAGCCAAGGAAUGCUUCUAUAAGAGCCUUUUCUGUAAACAAUUACAGGAAACUGUAACUUGGAUCCUACAAGGGCCUCAUUAAGAGUGAAUCAUGUUCUCUG
rnacentral:lncRNA from 13 species